CGAAAUAUUGGUAAAAGCUUUACAACUGAAAAAAAUCCAGGGCAUAGCUCUAUACUUCCUCUAACUGUGUAUGAAAACCAAUUUUGAAAAUAUUGCUUAGUCAUUUAAUAAAAAAAUCAAAAACUAAAAAAAUGAGAAAAUGCGUCCAGUUUCGCCUUAAUUAACCCUAGUAGGAUGUUGAGGUCAAUAUGACCCAGACAGGCACGCUGAACGUACACUACGCCAUCGUGGUACAAAAAACCCAACAUCUUAGUUAAAUAUUAAAACCAACAUCUAGUAAUACUAGCAGACAUUAUUUUCGGAAUAUUCCUGGUUGAUCAAUGAAGCCAUUUGUGAUAAAAAUACUCAGUGGAUUUCUUAAAUUGUUUUCUGGUAAAUUCCUUAGAUACGCGUUUAGUAUCCAGUAGAAAUGUCGGAAAAAUAUAUGAGAGAAGAAACGUUUUUAGGGCCCAUAUAGCCGAGGCGGUAAACGCACGGGUAUUCAGCAUGACCAUGCUGAGGGUGACGGGUUCGAUUCCCGGUCGGUCCAGGAUCUUUUCGUAAAGGAAAUUUCCUUGACUUCCUUGGGCAUAGAGUAUCUUCGUGCCUGCCACACGAUAUACACAUGCAAAAUGGUCAUUGGCUGAGGAAGCUCUCAGUUAAUAACUGUGGAAGUGCUCAUAGAACACUAAGCUGAGAAGCAGGCUUUGUCCCAAUGAGGACGUAACGCCAAGAAGAGAGAGAGAGAAGAAACAUUUUUUCCUGAACAGAAUAACCGAUAAAUCGUCCAGAAGAGAAACUUAAAAAAAAGAACAAAUGGGUAACAAAACUGAAGUAUAUUUAGUUUUUUUUUUUACUUAUAAUAACAGCAGGCAGAAUUUGUGGAAACCUCUGAUUAUUGAUAGUGUUAUUUUAUUUAUUAUUUAUGAAUUUGCUGAGUACAUUCAUUGCAAAAUUUGUAUUUGGGAUCCUUGAACAUUUUUGCAAGUAUCCUUAAAUAAAAUUGUGCAUUUUUUUUUAAAUGGGGAGCUCGACUACUUGUGUAUCGAUUCUAAUUGAGACGCCGUAUAGCUAUGUUUUGCUUUGUUUUAAAGCAAUUAGCAUGCCUUAUUGUAUGAAAUAAGAUAGAGCCCCCAUUUAUUCCUCUUACAAGAAAUAAAGUCGUUCUGCAGUGAAGAUGUAACCCAAAUUAGCAUAGCUGCUUACUCCGUUCGACUUUCUAGUACAAAAGAGUCUUUGCAAUAGUGUUUUCUUUGGAUGCCCGAAAUUUACUGGGUAUGUAUUAUGAAACUUAUGACUGGUUUUUUUUUUAUGGCAGAACUAAUAAAGAGUUAAGAAACUUGUAACCUUCACAUCAUCAUACCGACCUUAGUUCGCGAGAGCUUGAUUGUUGCUCCUAAUGUCUACCGUUCAAAAUAAAAGUAUAGGUCAUCUUACCAUGUGAAAACCACUACACUACAACACACCACAACAGAACAUUUCAACUCUCUGAGUAUACCGAAUGCCUGAUACCAAUCUAGUCAUUUAACGCAGAUAUCUAUUGACCACACAAGGUAUUGGGAGACAUCUAUCUCCUACGGAGCUUGGGCUUGAGAGCGCAGAGGGUCAAGUACGAAGGAGGCUAUCUAUCUGCACAUGGAUAAGGAGGAGGAUGACAUCGACCGUAUCUCCAUAAUAUGGUUUUGUAAACCCUAACCAUAAUCGAUCCUCUCUUAACCUGAAAUCUCACGAUCUCUUCUCUAUCCAUUGCUCAUUACCGCCACCCAUGUAUGAUAUGAAUAUACGACCACGAAGAUCUACCUACGGCUACAUAUUGGCACUGCUCUGAAGUUGAAAUCAGAAGUCGGUUAAUUUCCAAGCAGGCAAGUCUAGCUAGCCAAAGUUUCUUUUAUUCGCCUGACCGGCCAUAAAAUCAAAGCAAAGCAAAGUGCUAGUAGUUGGUGGAUGCGGUUCAUUGUUGUGUGCUUUUAAAUGCCUAUCGGCAUAGAUCCGCUGAGGAAAUCAUGUUAAGGAGCAUGAGCAGUACGAUGGAAUAGUGCGUUAGUGAUUGCUGGAGAUCGGCCUUUCGUUUCGACCCAAAUUCAAUGGCUCCAUGAGUCAUAAUGGUGUGGUUCAGUGCCUUGGUGUACCACCAGGCCUGGAAGUGUUUUCUGCUGCGGAGUUACUGGCAUGGAGCCGGUGUGUCCUUCUGUCCGGACGGAGUCCUGCUUUCCUGUCGCCGUGGGAUACACUAGGACACUGACACCACACAACACUAGGCUUAAGUCCUAACGUAGUUUGUAAGUCAGCAAAAUAGACGUAAGUACAAAAACAUUUAAUAAACCCAUUUACUCAUUUCUUGCAUGUAAAUUUAUGCUUUUAUAUUGGUACGGAAUUGACUCGGAUAGAUUGUUUCAUGAUGGUUCCCCAUUCGAACCUUGGUCUUAGAGGGAAAGGUAAAUGAGUCAAGGUCACUACUUCCUCUUCGUACCAUCUUUGUCUCCAUCUCAUGCGACCUUUCUUUAGGGAGGUGACAAACUCUUGAAGAAAAGUGGAGCUCAUGGUAAUGUUUUUGGUGAAUAUCAAGCAAGAUUUAUUUUAAUAUUCUUACAGUAAUUCUAAAAUUUACAAAUUGAACAAAUGAUGCUUAUCUCCAAACAUCCCAGAUUUAUUGUAAAUGUUCUAAUCGAAGGGUCUCCAGUAAUCCUAGCGGUUAAGGCUAUGGAUAACCAAUCCGGAGAUGGGGGGUUCGAUUCCCGUUCCGGUCGGGAAAAUUUUCUCGACUCCCUGGGCAUAGUGUAUCAUUGUGCUUGCCUCACAAUAUACUAAUUCAUGCAAUGGCUGGCAAAAAAAAAGCCCUCCAAAUAAUAACUGUGGAAGUGCUCAAAGAACACUAAGUUGGAGAGAGGCAGGCUAAGUCUCAGUUGGGACGUGGAGCCAUAAAGAAGAAGAAGAAGAAGAAGUUCUAAUCGACGCAACAUAAAUCUUAGAUAUUUUUCGCGUUCAAAUAUCAGCUUUUCCAUAAAUAUUCCAGCCGAUCACAGUUGUUAUGCCGAAAGUUUACUGUGUUGCCAGUGCCCUUGUUCGGUGAAAAGUGUCAUCGUGCGAGAUUUCCCCAUUUUUUCGUGAAAACUUCCGUAACAAAAGAAACAGUAUGUUUGCUCCCGGAAUCCUGCUACUCGGACUAAAAAAAGAAACAUUGCCGUUUUAUGCAUGGAACGGAACGAGACACGUAUGAAGAGAUCGCCGGGGUGUUUUUAGAUCUUGGUGCCCUAACGACUUCUGUAUGUGGUGCAGCAGUUAAUGCAGUGAGAAAUAUCGAGCAACAAAAAGAGAACAACAUCAACAUCUCUCAAAGUUUUUUUUUAAUACUUUUUUGAUUUUUAAAACAAUUUGCCUUUACAAAUUUUCAGAAAUUCUUUCGAAAGCUGCACAUUUGUUUGAUCACUUGAGUCAGAAAUUUCUUUAGCUAUGUUCUGGAGGAUUAACAUUCUACACAUUAUUUUCUACUUUAUGCAUUCCACCAAAUUAUUUCAAGACCGCCAGCGUUUUAAGGUUAUCCAAUCAAAAUACAAAAUAUUUCAAUUCCUCGUGCAAAAACAAUCUUAUGUUUGUCUGAAUUCUUAUUUUUCUUCUGGCACUUGGGUGAAAAUAAUUUCUUUUCAUAAUAUCUCGGCUUUUCAUCUCUUCAUGGUGUCAUCCAGUUUAAGUGCAUGAAUAAUCGUGUUUGUGUCGAAAAAAAAAAUCCAGCUCGAAGUUAUCGCACAGAUGUAUUGAUAAUAUAUAGUAUCAAGGAUUUAAUAUUAUGACCUACAUAAUGGCUCUUGCGGAGCAUCUGUGAAAUAUUCAAGAAAAUUCUUCGAGAAAUCCUAUCGGGAUUUAUCUAAUGAUUCCUCAAGAUAAUCCUUCAGAAUUUCUCCAGGGUUUUCUUCAAAUAUUCAUCUACAAACACCUUUUUAGAUUCCAUCCGGGGCUCUUCUAGGAAUUCAUGCGGAGAUUUUUCCAACGUUCACUAUGUAGAUUCCUUCCAUUUUUUUUCCAAUUAUUUUUACUCGAGAUUCCUCUUGAAAUUCCUGCUGGAAUUCCCCUGAGAUUCCACUCAGGGAUUUCUCCAGAGAUUCCUUCCGGUAUUCUUUGUGGAAUCCCUAACAGAAGUUUUUCAGAUAUUCUUCCUGCAAUUCCUUCAGAGAUUCCUCCCGCGAUUCUCAAAAGGUAUUUCUGCCAUCUUAUUACGGGAACUUUCCCAGCAUUACUUCAAUGAUUCCUCCUUUGGCUUUCAGAUAAAUUUCAAAGCGAUGCAGUACAUUCAGGGGGUUUCAAGGGUUUUUUUUUCAAAGCGUUUCUAUGCGUUUCUGGAGUUUCUGGAGAUUUCAAAGAGGGUUUGAAAGGUUUUGAACGUUCUAAAAUGAAUAUUUGGAGGGUUUCAGU